rnacentral:rRNA from 1 species
UUGAUCCUGGCUCAGGACGAACGCUGGCGGCGUGCUUAACACAUGCAAGUCGAACGAUGAUGCCCAGCUUGCUGGGCGGAUUAGUGGCGAACGGGUGAGUAAUACGUGAGUAACCUGCCCUUGACUCUGGGAUAAGCCUGGGAAACUGGGUCUAAUACUGGAUACUACCUCUUGCCGCAUGGUGGGUGGUGGAAAGGGUUUUACUGGUUUUGGAUGGGCUCACGGCCUAUCAGCUUGUUGGUGGGGUAAUGGCUCACCAAGGCGACGACGGGUAGCCGGCUGAGAGGGUGACCGGCCACACUGGGACUGAGACACGGCCCAGACUCCUACGGGAGGCAGCAGUGGGGAAUAUUGCACAAUGGGCGGAAGCCUGAUGCAGCGACGCCGCGUGAGGGAUGACGGCCUUCGGGUUGUAAACCUCUUUCAGUAGGGAAGAAGCGAGAGUGACGGUACCUGCAGAAGAAGCGCCGGCUAACUACGUGCCAGCAGCCGCGGUAAUACGUAGGGCGCAAGCGUUGUCCGGAAUUAUUGGGCGUAAAGAGCUCGUAGGCGGUUUGUCGCGUCUGCUGUGAAAGCCCGGGGCUCAACCCCGGGUCUGCAGUGGGUACGGGCAGACUAGAGUGCAGUAGGGGAGACUGGAAUUCCUGGUGUAGCGGUGAAAUGCGCAGAUAUCAGGAGGAACACCGAUGGCGAAGGCAGGUCUCUGGGCUGUUACUGACGCUGAGGAGCGAAAGCAUGGGGAGCGAACAGGAUUAGAUACCCUGGUAGUCCAUGCCGUAAACGUUGGGCACUAGGUGUGGGGGACAUUCCACGUUUUCCGCGCCGUAGCUAACGCAUUAAGUGCCCCGCCUGGGGAGUACGGCCGCAAGGCUAAAACUCAAAGGAAUUGACGGGGGCCCGCACAAGCGGCGGAGCAUGCGGAUUAAUUCGAUGCAACGCGAAGAACCUUACCAAGGCUUGACAUUCACCGGACCGCCCCAGAGAUGGGGUUUCCCUUCGGGGCUGGUGGACAGGUGGUGCAUGGUUGUCGUCAGCUCGUGUCGUGAGAUGUUGGGUUAAGUCCCGCAACGAGCGCAACCCUCGUUCUAUGUUGCCAGCACGUGAUGGUGGGGACUCAUAGGAGACUGCCGGGGUCAACUCGGAGGAAGGUGGGGAUGACGUCAAAUCAUCAUGCCCCUUAUGUCUUGGGCUUCACGCAUGCUACAAUGGCCGGUACAAAGGGUUGCGAUACUGUGAGGUGGAGCUAAUCCCAAAAAGCCGGUCUCAGUUCGGAUUGAGGUCUGCAACUCGACCUCAUGAAGUCGGAGUCGCUAGUAAUCGCAGAUCAGCAACGCUGCGGUGAAUACGUUCCCGGGCCUUGUACACACCGCCCGUCAAGUCACGAAAGUUGGUAACACCCGAAGCCGGUGGCCUAACCC